AGUGAGUUCUCAUGAGAUCUGAUGAUUUUAUAAGAGGCUCUUCCCCUUUUGCUUAGCCCUUUUCCUCCCUGUCACCUUGUGAAGAAGGUGCCUUGCUUCGCCUUUGCCUUCGCCAUGAUUUUAAGUUUCCUGAGGCUUCCCCAGCCGUGUAGAACGGUGAUAACACUAAGCCAGAAGCUUAAGUCGUCAACUUGAGUCCACUCAAGCUUACUUAACUGGGAACGGGGCAUAGUUCUGGGACAAGAAUGUUCAGCAUGUUUGGUCUUGUGGAUAAAAGCAUGCUGAGGACGACAAGAAGUGUGCAUGGCAGGACUGAGACCAAUACUCAGGUCUGGUCAAAGGAUCUACAUCCCGCACAGGGUGCAGUGAAGACCAAGAUCCACGUUCAGAAAAAAAUACCACUCCUUCACCCUCCGCUCCCACAUGAAGGCUGUAGGAACUCAGGGAAUUGUGGAAGAAGAGAAGAGAAAGAGGAGGGAGGAUGUAUUAGCUUUUUAUUGUUGUUGUAAAAAAUUUUGUGGCUUAAAACCACAAACUUAGUGGCAAGACAAAUUUAUUCUGUUAUAGUUAUAGUGGUCAGAAGUCUAAAAUAAAGUAUUGAUAUGGUUGUAUUCUUUUUGAAAGCUUCAGGAGAAAAUCAGUUUGUCUCUUCCAGUUUCUAGGGGUCACAUGCAUUCUUUGGCUCAUGGGACAUCACUCUAGCUUCUGGUUCUACCCUUACGUUUUCUUUAACUUUGAGCUUCCUACUUCUCUUUAAUAAAGACUUAUAUAAUUACAGUAGGCCCACCUAUAUGCUGCAGAAUAACCCUCCCCCACCACAAGAUCUUUAAUUUAAUCAUAUAUGCAAAAUUCCUUUUGUCAUAUAAGGUAAUAUAUUCACGUGGUCUGGGGAUUAGGACAUGGAUACCUUUGAGGGGGGCUAUUAUUUAACCUACCACAGCGCACCCUCUGGUCACCCAAAAUUAAUAUCCAUUCCACACUCAAAAGACAUUCACCUCAUCCCAGCAUCCCCUAAAGUUUCAACCCAUUACAGCA
rnacentral:lncRNA from 10 species